rnacentral:rRNA from 1 species
CCAGCAGCCGCGGUAAUACGAAGGGACCUAGCGUAGUUCGGAAUUACUGGGCUUAAAGAGCUCGUAGGUGGUUAAAAAAGUUGAUGGUGAAAUCCCAAGGCUCAACCUUGGAACUGCCAUCAAAACUUUUUAGCUAGAGUGUGAUAGAGGUAAGUGGAAUUUCUAGUGUAGAGGUGAAAUUCGUAGAUAUUAGAAAGAACACCAAAUGCGAAGGCAACUUACUGGGUCACUACUGACACUGAGGAGCGAAAGCAUGGGUAGCGAAGAGGAUUAGAUACCCUCGUAGUCCAUGCCGUAAACGAUGUGUGCUAGACGUUGGAAAUUUAUUUUUCAGUGUCGCAGCGAAAGCAUUAAGCACACCGCCUGGGGAGUACGACCGCAAGGUUAAAACUCAAAGGAAUUGACG